rnacentral:misc_RNA from 1 species
AACGCACAUUGCGCCUUCCGGGCUCCACCCGGGAGGCAUGCCUGUUUGAGCGUCAGUAAACACCCCUCGGGCGAGUUUUAUUUUAUACUACUUGCGCCGGUCAUUGGGCGUUCAGGUGUUAAGCGGAGGUCUUGACCUUCUCCACCCGCCUUAAAUCUGUUUAGCACGACCGCUGGGAAAAUCGCUUUCCUAUCACAAGUAGCGGGGUCAACGGAGUGGAAAUCUCACUAGUCUGUUGCCCGCAUCUGUGGUGUUAAAAGGGAACUGCGGUAGCCGGCGGCGCAAAACCAACGAAAUUUACUGAAGUUUGACCUCAAAUCAGACAAGGAUACCCGCUGAACUUAA